rnacentral:rRNA from 1 species
ACAAGCGGUGGAGCAUGUGGUUUAAUUCGAUGAUACGCGAGGAACCUUACCUGGGCUCAAAUGUAUGUUGACGUAUUCUGAAAGGGAUACUUCUUCGGACAAUAUACAAGGUGCUGCAUGGUUGUCGUCAGCUCGUGCCGUGAGGUGUCGGGUUAAGUCCCAUAACGAGCGCAACCCCUAUCAUUAGUUGCCAUCAGGUCAAGCUGGGGACUCUAAUGAAACUGCCUACGCAAGUAGUGAGGAAGGUGGGGAUGACGUCAAAUCAGCACGGCCCUUACGUCCAGGGCUACACACAUGCUACAAUGGCCGAUACAGAGGGCAGCUACCUGGUGACAGGAUGCAAAUCUCCAAAGUCGGUCUCAGUUCGGAUCGGAGUCUGCAACCCGACUCCGUGAAGUUGGAUUCGCUAGUAAUCGCGCAUCAGCCAUGGCGCGGUGAAUACGUUCCCGGGCCUU